CAUCACUUCAUGUAAUCUCCGAACACCCAUCCAUCCCCCUAACUACACCCGGCUAGGGGGAUGUCAGAGUGUCGGAGACUACAGAAGUCAUG